rnacentral:tRNA from 2 species
GAGAGAGGCUCGACAGCAAUAAGAACUGCUAAUUCUUACCACCCUAGUUAAACCCCAGGGCUCACUCG